GCCCCCAUGGCAUAGUGGUUAGUGCGUGCCACUCGUAUGCUGAAUAUGCGAUGAUAUGGCAAGAUCCGCGGUUCGACUCCGCGUGGAGGCA